UCUCUAUUAAACUUAGAAAUAAUCAUGUGUGCAAAAAUUACAUAAACGUCUUCUGAUAAGACCGUUUCAAUUUUAUUAAAUGAAUUGAUUCAUCAAUUGAAUCAAUAAAUGCUUUAAUGUGCUCUGCUAAAUCACUGUUCAGUACUAGCAACUCUAUAAGCCGAUUUAAUUGUUCGGAAAAUAGUAUCCGUUUGUUUUCAUAACGCUUGGUUAACAAUUCCCAAGUCGCAUUGAAAUUUUUUGAGGAGCCUUUAAGCAAAUGCGACACCAUGCAUCUUGCUUCUCCUUUUAAUGACGUUCUUAAAUAGUUAAAUUUAAGAGCUGGACACAAAUCCUCUCUUGAUUGAACCAACUCUGUAAACAGCUCGGCAAAGAGACCCCACUCUUUGGAAUCCCCAUAAAAGGUGCGUGUUCGCGCCGCAAGUUAAUAUAUAGUAUUUAGUAACGAUGUCAGCGAUAUUUAGUAUUUUUGCUUACAUUCCUUGAAAUGUUAAUUGAAUUGAAUAAAUAUCGAUAUUGUCGAUCGAUGUAUUGUACAUUGAACUAUAAUCAGUUUGUCUGGCGAGUAAAAGAGUUCAAGCGGAGCUGAUCGGCAUUUUUGCUGGGAAGGUAAUUUUCCUACUAAUUAUUAAUUUCAACGCUCGUGAAGGACUCUAGCUCGAACAUUGGCGCCCGAGCAAGGACCUGAGGAUAAGGUCUAAAUCCGGAAGAAGCUAAACAAACAUAAGCUAAUUGGAAUUUAGCUUAAUUCACCAAGAGAAUAGGCCGGCGACUGCGGCGGGAACCUUGUAUUCAAUUUACAUUUCGGGGCUCAAUAGUUAUGCGCCUUCUUGCGGCAGAAAUAUUGGAUCAUCAAUAUUGGAUCAAAAUUGGCUCGCAAUGUGGUACGAAGUUUCAUUACCUGUUUUCGGCUUUGACCUGUCUUGGGCAAUCAGGUCAUGGGACCGCUGCUCGAGCGCCGAGUGCGAGGCAGUAUCUACCCCUUUCAACGAGCGGGACUAGACUUCGCAGGACCAAUUUGGACACAUUUCAACAUACGAGCGAAGCGCCCAGUCAAGGUGUAUUCGUAUGUGUUCGUAUGCUUCCUGACGAUGGCAUGCCAUAUAGAGAUCGUGUCGGACUUGAGUGCCAGCGCCUUCAUAGCGGCACUUAAACGGUUCUUUGCCAGACGUGGCCUAAGCUCCGACCUGUUCUGCGACAACGCCACUAACUUUGUAGGCGCUUCAGAAGAACUGGGCAAAACUUUUGACCAGUCGGGCCAAAGUGUUAUCAGCGACACGUGCAGUCACGCUCACCUCAGUUUGGAGGGUUAUGGGAGAGCGCAGUGAAGGUCGCGAAACAGCUGCUGGCCAAGUGCGCAAACAGCACGGCUCUCAACUUCGAGGAUCUCUCAACAGCAGUUACGCAGGUGGAAGCCGUGACAAAUUCGAGGCCGCUGUAUCCUUUAUCAUCGGACCCGAAUGACUUAGAAGCACUAACUCCUGGCCACUUUUUGGUUGGCCGUCCACUUAACGCGCUAGUGGAACCAUUUAACAAAGCAUUGGUAAAACUAUCGCUGACCAACCAUUGGAAAAGGAUUCUCAUAGUACACAAUAUGUUUUGGGGCCGCUGGAAAAAUGAGGUCCUCACCUUAAUGCAUGAACGCUCAAAAUGGAGGACAACUGCGAGCAACGUACAGAUCGGAAGUCUAGUUCUGAUCGCCGAAGACAACGCACCGCCUGGACAAUGGUUAUUAGGAAGAGUAUCCGAAUUACAUCCCGGAUGCGAUGGCGCAGUGCGUGUCGUGACUCUCAAGUCCAAGACGGGGUUUCUCAAGCGAAAUGUACAUAGAAUCUGCCCCUUGCCACUGGAGUCAACAAAAGACGGUGUUUUGGAAGGAGCUUCCAAGACUAUAUAUUUAGUAUUUUUGCUUACAUUCCUUGAAAUGUUAAUUGAAUUGAAUAACUAUCGAUAUUGUCGAACGAUGUAUUGUACAUUGAACUGUAAUCAGUUUGUCUGUCGAGUAAAAGAGUUGAAGCAGA